CACUGCACGGACGCCUCACAAGGUGGUUCAAGGCCAACAUUACUCCAGUAACUAAGUAAUGUAGUCAGAAAAGUGAUUGGAGAAGAAAAAGAAAAAGAAACACAGCGUUUAUGGAGGAAACAAGCAUAAACUUGCCUGUAGAAGCUGGUGCCUCCUUUUCCUGCCAAUACAAAUGUCUAUUAUUUGCUGGAGCAAAAUCAACCCCCAAUUUAAGCAUAAGUUUAAAUAGUUUUUCAAGGCCACUAAGUGAUGUGCAUGGGAAAGAGAAGUGACAAAUACAGAAUAUCAACCUCAUUCUUUUCCUCCUGGAAGAAGUCCAGUGAUAAAGCCCAGAGCACCAGAGGGAGCUCUCUGGGACACAGCAGCACAUGAGCCAAUCAUG